rfam:Nematostella vectensis strain CH2 x CH6 NEMVEscaffold_3816_Cont46280, whole genome shotgun sequence.
UGACCUCAGAUCAGGCAAGGCUACCCGCUGAAUUUAAGCAUAUUAAUAAGCGGAGGAAAAGAAACUAACAAGGAUUCCCCUAGUAAUGGCGAAUGAAGCGNGAAAAGCUCAAAUUUAAAAUCUCCGUUGCUUGCAACGGCGAAUUGUAGUUUCCAGAAGCACUUUCUCGGCGG